ensembl:lncRNA
AUUGCACAGGUGUGCAUGGAGGUGGUAACAAGGGUUCUUGGGCAUGCUGAACCAGUCGGAGAGGUUGAAGGAAAGGGGGGAGUGAUUUAAGGAGAGGAGGCUGAAGACAUAAACUGAAAUACAUACUUGUGACGAAGGAUUGUGCAGACUCAGACCCUGUGGCUGAACUGGAAGGAAGCACAUGUGAUGCGUACAGAAAGGCUGCAAUAAGAAAUGAGACUCCGGAGCUACAAAGAACCCGCUGUGUUGGCCUCUCGUCACCCCAGCCCCUCCUAGCCCUGACUUCCACUGAAGAGGAGAGGCUCGGGCUCCUCUCCUCUCUGAUGUGCCUAAUUAUGCCGACGCUGCGGCCAAACCGGCUCCCACCUGCCGAGCACAAAGAGUCGUUCCACAGGUGUCUGGGCCCACGGCGUGUGCGUGUGCGUCGGCCCAGAGGACACAAUCUGUCGGGAUCUCAUUAGGCCCUGUCACUUCAAAG